rnacentral:rRNA from 1 species
UACGUAGGUGGCAAGCGUUAUCCGGAUUUAUUGGGCGUAAAGGGAACGCGGGCGGUCUUUUAAGUCUGAUGUGAAAGCCUUCGGCUUAACCGGAGUAGUGCAUUGGAAACUGGGAGACUUGAGUGCAGAAGAGGAGAGUGGAACUCCAUGUGUAGCGGUGAAAUGCGUAGAUAUAUGGAAGAACACCAGUGGCGAAAGCGGCUCUCUGGUCUGUAACUGACGCUGAGGUUCGAAAGCGUGGGUAGCAAACAGG